AAUCUAUUCCCAUGGGUGAACUGCAAAUUCAGCUUUCUUUUAAAUUAAAAAGGUAGGUUU
rnacentral:tRNA from 1 species